rnacentral:ncRNA from 1 species
UUGUUCGUUGGAAGGAGAGACGGUUGACAUCUCCCCUGAUAUCGACGGGAACAGCCUUCGGGCUUUCUUGUUACAGAAUGCAGAUGAUCAAGGCACCCCACCUCAUUGAAGUGGAUCUUACCUGAUUUUUUU